CCCCUAGACGUUCUGGGCUGCACGCGCGCUACAAUAAUACGCACAGCGAGUAUCACCGAGCUCGAGAGGGCAAGGUAAACAAUAGAAAAGGUACUGUAAUGGUUAUAGAUCCUUGUAAUUAUUGAUCUUCAACGAGGAAUUCCUAGUAAGUAUGUGUCAUCAUCACGCACUGAUUACGUCCCUGCCCUUUGUACACACCGCCCGUCGCUCCUACCGAUUGGGUGAGCCGAUGAAACUCUCGGAUGUAGGCUAUUCAUAGCCCGCAGAAGAGAUUUGAAUCGUAGCGCUUAGAGGAAGGAGAAGUCGUAACA
rnacentral:rRNA from 1 species